ensembl:misc_RNA Metazoa_SRP Metazoan signal recognition particle RNA
GCCAGGUGUGGUGGCGCAUGCCUGUAAUCCCAGCUACUUGGGAGGCUGAGGCAGGAGAACUGCUUGAGCCCAGGAGGUGGAGAUUGCAGUGAGCCAAGAUCACGUCACUGCACUCCAGCCUGGGCAACAGAGCGAGACCUUGUCUUAA